AUUGAACGCUGGCGGCAGGCCUAACACAUGCAAGUCGAGCGGAUGAAGGGAGCUUGCUCCUGGAUUCAGCGGCGGACGGGUGAGUAAUGCCUAGGAAUCUGCCUGGUAGUGGGGGAUAACGUCCGGAAACGGGCGCUAGUACCGCAUACGUCCUGAGGGAGAAAGUGGGGGAUCUUCGGACCUCACGCUAUCAGAUGAGCCUAGGUCGGAUUAGCUAGUUGGUGGGGUAAAGGCCUACCAAGGCGACGAUCCGUAACUGGUCUGAGAGGAUGAUCAGUCACACUGGAACUGAGACACGGUCCAGACUCCUACGGGAGGCAGCAGUGGGGAAUAUUGGACAAAGGGCGAAAGCCUGAUCCAGCCAUGCCGCGUGUGUGAAGAAGGUCUUCGGAUUGUAAAGCACUUUAAGUUGGGAGGAAGGGCAGUAAGUUAAUACCUUGCUGUUUUGACGUUACCAACAGAAUAAGCACCGGCUAACUUCGUG
rnacentral:rRNA from 1 species